rnacentral:misc_RNA from 1 species
UACCCUAAAUAAUCAUAUUAAGGUAUAUUUGUCUUAGUCAUGUUCUUGUUGUGAAUUUGAUUAUAAUUCUGCAAAUAUUGACUAAUAAUAGUAUGCUUUUGCCAUCAAUAAUUUGAGUAGUACGAUUAUAGUGUUUUAUUAACAUGACCUUGUGUUGGAUGAGACGGUUUUAUAAGUGUUUUGGAUAUUUGUUCAUUUUUUUGCUUAUACAUGUAUAAUGAUUUUUUGUUUUUUUGUUAAAUUGGAUUUCCUUCCUUCAUGUGGUGGUUUUCAAUUUUAUUAUAAUUCUACCAAUUUUGACUAAUGGUUAAGCUAUUGCCAUCAUAUGAUAGGAUUUUAGUGAUUUAUUUGCAUGAUAGCGAAUUAGAG